UACGUAGGGGCCUAGCGUUGUCCGGAUUUAUUGGGCGUAAAGAGCUCGUAGGCGGUUUGGUAAGUCGGGUGUGAAAUCUCCACGCUCAACGUGGAGGGGCCACCCGAUACUGCCAUGACUGGAGUCCGGUAGGGGAGUGUGGAAUUCCCAGUGUAGCGGUGAAAUGCGUAGAUACUGGGAGGAACACCAGUGGCGAAGGCGGCUACCUGGACCGGUUCUGACGCUGAGGCGCGAAAGCGUGGGUAGCAAACAGG
rnacentral:rRNA from 1 species